UACAAGGCAAGCAAGGGAAAAGAACAAAUAAAUCUUGUCUGGCUGAGUGAUGCAUCUUUUGUUGGGCAGCAUGUGGCUGAGUGGCAUAUUGUGCAGAGGAAGAGUAUGAGAAGAAACUUGUGCUUCUCACUCAAACUUUGUCGAACUCUCUUUAUGUGCGAUUGUGCACUUGUUGGGUCCUUUUGCUAUGCACUUGCACUUGCAUAAGUAUUCUAUUGUGCAUUUGUAAAAUUAUUUUGAUGUGCACUUGUUAGGCCUUGAACCUUUAUGUGUGGAGGAUUCGGUGGAUGAUGUAUUGUAUUUCAUGUGAUGUGCUACUGAAAUGAAAUAUACAGUUUAUCUGCAAUAUUUUAUUCUGUUGUACUUGUUUUUAAA